rnacentral:lncRNA from 1 species
CUCCAUAUUAAUCGUCAAACAUUGAAAUGACCGUCAACAUGCUCAACUCAACAAACACCUUCUGAUGAGGUGUACACAAAUAUAUUUAUGAAUAACGAGUCAAAAUAUAGAAACAGUCUAGAUAGAUAUUUAAAAAUUGACCACUAAGACGACUGCAACCUAACAUCCCUUGAAUAAUUAGUCAUUCAAGAUAUUUUCUGCAAGACAAAAUCAUAGUAUGUUUGACUUGAUUAAUAAAAGAUCUUGAGCAACCACGAAACUUUAAUCUUGAACAUGGGUUGGGGACAGGUCAUUUUCCACUUUGCAGUUUUGAAGAAAAAAUAAUAAUUCACGAACUAGGACUACAUGUUAGCCUUUCCAAACGCAAUAUAAAAACUUUCUACGCAUGUGUUCAUAUUUAUUGUUUUAAGAAAUUACCCUUUUUUCUUGAAACGAUUCGACAAACUUAAAUAUCCUUCACCCCUAACUUUUAUAUAGGGAGUUUGACUAGACAUGAUUAAGGAAAAGAUACAUUAUGCCUUUAAAACGAUGGCAAUAGGCUUAGUAGAAUUUAAACCCGAUCUUGAACCAAGAAGAAGCUUCAUGAUUUGUCCAUCUUACUAAAAAAAGAGUCGUUUCUCGGCAAUGAAAUUUGCUAAAAAAACACAUCUGCUUAAUUUAAAAUGAUAAUUUUCUCUUUCAUACAAAUAAAACCAAUAAAGAUUAAAAGCAAAGGCCAACCACCCAUUUCCGAGAUCACAGGAUCUAUGAAAAGAACAAAAGCAAAGCCAAAAAGCAUAAAUGCACUAGCUAAAAGAAAUCCUUUAACUUUGUCCGUGUUAAUCAUCUCGUCUAAAAAGUUGAAGGUAUUAAAGCGAUGUCAAUUGUAUUCACUUAAAUCUCAAUGCAUUCAUUUAAAUCUUGUCUUCAACAAUUGAAGAUGUGAAAAUGCAUGUACUUUCAUUUGCUGCAAUGAAAAAUACUAAAUUUUAAAUAAAAAAUGCCUAUCAGUUAUAUGCUCUAUUAAGAAAUUUUGAAACAAAAAUAGGAAAAAACUAUUAAGACAGAACCACCAAACACCAGACCUUGAAAAGCAUCAAAAGAAACAAAAAUUUGUUGAGAAUUAGCAGCAGUUCACUAUCAUGAAAUGAAGUUUACAAGAGAAAAUUGCACACUUAUCAUCUUUUACCUCUAUUUCUUUCUCUUAUGAUGCUAACUAAAAAGUCUUAUAUGAAAGCUCUCUAUUUAUAUUUAUAAGACAAGUUAGAGUAAAAUCGAAAUUUACGAGGACUCGAAUUCGUUUGACAAAAUUUACAAGGACAUAAUAAUUAGGCACCACAGCUUAAAAAAUUUCAGAUCUAAAUUUCGAAUCCCGGAAUAAAAUAAACCAAUGAAGAAGUCUGUUGUAUAUUAAAAUCUUAGUCUCCAAAAGCAGUUUUCACAUUCUGAGCUAAAAAUAAUGCACAUUUGGCAUAAAUUCUGAGAAGUAAAGCCACAACACACACAGAAACUUCAACCCACAACAAGAUCUACUCACAUUUUUCAUACAAAUCAAACCAAUCCUAUCUCAGAAUCCAAAUCAGAACACAGCAACCAUUACUUACACAAACGUGUAUGUAUACAUGUCUGUAUAUAUAUUGUGAUGAGGAAGAAGA